AGAACCUUACCUGGGCUAGAGUGCCUCUGACAACCCUGGAGACAGGGCCUUCUGGGUAAAACCAGACGGAGUGCAAGGUGCUGCAUGGCUGUCGUCAGCUCGUGUCGUGAGAUGUUGGGUUAAGUCCCGCAACGAGCGCAACCCUUGUCAGUAGUUGCCAGCAGGUCAAGCUGGGCACUCUACUGAGACUGCCGUUGAUAAAACGGAGGAAGGUGGGGAUGACGUCAAGUCCUCAUGGCCUUUAUGUCCAGGGCUACACACGUGCUACAAUGGCAGGUACAAACCGUCGCAAACUCGCAAGAGGGAGCCAAUCGGAAAAAGCCUGUCUCAGUUCGGAUCGGAGUCUGCAACACGACUCCGUGAAGCUGGGAUCGCUAGUUAUCGCAAAUCAGCAUGCCCGCGGUGAAUACGUUCCCGGGCCUUGUCACACCGA
rnacentral:rRNA from 1 species